rnacentral:rRNA from 1 species
UUGAACGCUGGCGGCAUGCUUUACACAUGCAAGUCGAACGGCAGCGCGGGGGCAACCCUGGCGGCGAGUGGCGAACGGGUGAGUAAUAUAUCGGAACAUAUCCGGAAGUGGGGGAUAACGUAGCGAAAGUUACGCUAAUACCGCAUAUGCCCUGAGGGGGAAAGGGGGGGAUCGCAAGACCUCUCGCUUUCGGAGUGGCCGAUAUCAGAUUAGCUAGUUGGUGAGGUAAAGGCUCACCAAGGCGACGAUCUGUAGCUGGUCUGAGAGGACGACCAGCCACACUGGGACUGAGACACGGCCCAGACUCCUACGGGAGGCAGCAGUGGGGAAUUUUGGACAAUGGGCGCAAGCCUGAUCCAGCCAUGCCGCGUGAGUGAAGAAGGCCUUCGGGUUGUAAAGCUCUUUCGGACAGAAAGAAAUCGCACUGGUUAAUACCUUGUGUGGAUGACGGUACUGUAAGAAGAAGCACCGGCUAACUACGU